GGGCGCUUAGCUCAGGGGGAGAGCGCUUCCCUGACACGGAAGAGGUCGGAGGUUCAAAUCCUCCAGCGCCCA
rnacentral:tRNA from 1 species